GCUGGCGGCGCGUCUAAUACAUGCAAGAAAAGCGAGAACCAGGGCUUCGGCCUUGGGGACAGCGGCGUAUCGCGUGCGUAACACGUGAGCAACCUGCCCCGAAGACCGGGACAAGCCGGGGAAACCUGGUCUAAUACCGGAUGCCCUCACCGGAUCGCAUGGUCUGGUGAGGAAAUGGAUUCCGCCUCGGGAUGGGCUCGCGGUCUAUCAGCUUGUUGGUGGGGUAACGGCCUACCAAGGCGACGACGGAUAGCUGGUCUGAGAGGACGAUCAGCCACACUGGGACUGAGACACGGCCCAGACUCCUACGGGAGGCAGCAGUGGG
rnacentral:rRNA from 1 species